rnacentral:rRNA from 1 species
GCAUCUUCUUGUUAUUAAAGAAUUUCGAUAACCGAUGGGGAUGCGUUCCAUUAGUUUGUUGGCGGGGUAACGGCCCACCAAGACAUCGAUGGAUAGGGGUUCUGAGAGGAAGGUCCCCCACAUUGGAACUGAGACACGGUCCAAACUCCUACGGGAGGCAGCAGUGAGGAAUAUUGGUCAAUGGACGAGAGUCUGAACCAGCCAAGUAGCGUGAAGGAUGACUGCCCUAUGGGUUGUAAACUUCUUUUAUAUGGGAAUAAAGUGAGCCACGUGUGGCUUUUUGUAUGUACCAUACGAAUAAGGAUCGGCUAACUCCGUGCCAGCAGCCGCGGUAAUACGGAGGAUCCGAGCGUUAUCCGGAUUUAUUGGGUUUAAAGGGAGCGUAGGCGGACUAUUAAGUCAGCUGUGAAAGUUUGCGGCUCAACCGUAAAAUUGCAGUUGAUACUGGUCGUCUUGAGUGCAGUAGAGGUAGGCGGAAUUCGUGGUGUAGCGGUGAAAUGCUUAGAUAUCACGAAGAACUCCGAUUGCGGAGGCAGCUUACUGGACUGUAACUGACGCUGAUGCUCGAAAGUGUGGGUAUCAAACAGGAUUAGAUACCCUGGUAGUCCACACAGUAAACGAUGAAUACUCGCUGUUUGCGAUAUACAGCAAGCGGCC